rnacentral:rRNA from 1 species
AGUGAACGCUGGCGGUAGGCCUAACACAUGCAAGUCGAACGGCAGCACAGUAAGAGCUUGCUCUUACGGGUGGCGAGUGGCGGACGGGUGAGGAAUACAUCGGAAUCUACUUUUUCGUGGGGGAUAACGUAGGGAAACUUACGCUAAUACCGCAUACGACCUACGGGUGAAAGCAGGGGAUCUUCGGACCUUGCGCGAUUGAAUGAGCCGAUGUCGGAUUAGCUAGUUGGCGGGGUGAAGGCCCACCAAGGCGCCGAUCCGUAGCUGGUCUGAGAGGAUGAUCAGCGACACUGGAACUGAGACACGGUCCAGACUCCUACGGGAGGCAGCAGUGGGGAAUAUUGGACAAUGGGCGCAAGCCUGAUCCAGCCAUACCGCGUGGGUGAAGAAGGCCUUCGGGUUGUAAAGACCUUUUGUUGGGAAAGAAAAGCAGCAGGUUAAUACCCCGCUGUUCUGACGGUACCCAAGGAAUAAGCACCGGCUAACUUCGUG